GGCGCGGUGGCUGAGUGGUACAGCGUUUGGCUUCCGAACCAGUGGUCCCGGGUUCGAAUCCUGGUUAUGACU
rnacentral:tRNA from 1 species